CGGAGAGGGAGCAUGAGAAACGGCUACCACAUCUAAGGAAGGCAGCAGGCGCGUAAAUUACCCAAUCCUGACUCAGGGAGGUAGUGACAAGAAAUAGCAAACCGGGAACCUCAUGGUUUCACGGUAUUGCAAUGAGAACAAUUUAAAACCCUUAGCGAGAAUCAAGUGGAGGACAAGUCUGGUGCCAGCACCCGCGGUAAUUCCAGCUCCACUAGCGUAUAUUAAAGUUGUUGCAGUUAAAAAGCUCGUAGUUGAACCUCUGUCUGGGGCUAGUUUUGGCUUUGGUCAGGCUAGUUCUAGGCAUCCGCCUACAAGACUUAGAGGGCAUUCAGUUGUUCACUAGGAGGAGUAGGCAUUUUACUUUGAAAAAAUUAGAGUGUUUAAGGCAGGCAAUCGCCCGCAUAUAUUAGCAUGGAAUAAUAGAAUAGGACACUUUUCCAUUUCGUUGGUUAUUGGAAUCGUGUAAUGAUUAAUAGGGACAGUUGUGCCAUUUGUAUUUAAUUGUCAGAGGUGAAAUUCUUGGAUUUAUUAAAGACAAACUAACGCGAAAGCAUUUGCCAAGGAUGUUUUCAUUAAUCAAGAACGAAAGUUAGGGGAUCAAAGACGAUCAGAUACCGUCCUAGUCUUAACUAUAAACUAUUCCGACUCAAUGUUUGACUGGCUUAUAUAACCAGUUGAGCGUUGUAUGAGAAAUCAAAGUCUUUAGGUUCUGGGGGGAGUAUGGUUGCAAAGCUGAAACUUAAAGGAAUUGACGGAAGAGCACAACCAGGAGUGGAUUCUGCGGCUUAAUUUGACUCAACACGGGGAAACUUACCAGGUUAAAACAAUAGUGGGAUUGACAGUUUGAGAGCGCUUUCUUGAUUGGUUGGGUGGUGGUGCAUGGCCGUUCUUAGUUGGUGGAGUGAUUUGUCUGCUUAAUUGCGUUAACGAACGAGACCUUAACCUGCUUACUAGACUGGCGAUCAUCAAUCGUUAGCUCUUCUUAGAGGGACUUUGGUUGUUUUAACUCCAAGGAAGUUUGAGGCAAUAACAGGUCUGUGAUGCCCUUAGAUAUCCUGGGCCGCACGCGUCAUACAAUGACUAGUUCAGAAAGUUUUCUCCUGACCCGAAAGGGGAUGGGUAAUCUUGAUAAUACUAGUCGUGUUAGGGAUCGAUCUUUGCAAUUAUAGAUCUUGAACGAGGAAUUCCUAGUAAGUGCGGUUCAUCAGACCGUACUGAUUACGUCCCUGCUCUUUGUACACACCGCCCGUCGCUUCUACCGAGUGGGUGGUCCGGUGAGAUAAUUGAACUUCGCAGGUAACUGAGAGGAAAGAUUAUCAAACCUAUCCACCUCGAGGAAGAAGAAGUCGUAACAAGGUU
rnacentral:rRNA from 1 species